CUCGUCCAUACGGAUGUCUAAACGUAGACAUCGUCUACAUUCUCCUCCACGACGUCCACAUUUCCACCGCCGAGCGACGACGUCCAAAUCGCCCGCGCUCGCUCCCGCCGCCACCCCGAAACUUCCCGCCCCAACCGUUCCAGCCAAGGUCGCCCGCACUGCCGUGGAGAGGUCGCCGUCGACUCGCCUCCUCCGUCCGUCGCGAGAUGGAUGAAGAUCAAAGUUUCCCGGACAUGUUGAGUUUUGGUGCCUCACAACAACCGCGGUGUAGUCCACUUGGAGAGCAAGAGGUGCCAACCACUCAAGAAUGUUCUGCAGCUGUGAAAGCAAAAUUCACGAAAGGAAAGAAUUGGUCUAGUGACGAGGACAAGAUGUAUAUAGACCUGAAAAAGUAGCCGUUGGAAAAAGUAGCCGUUAGAAAAGUAGCCGUUGCAAAUGUAGCCGUUAGAAACCUAGCCGUUGGAAAUUUGAGUUCAAAUGCUAGUUAUAAGAUACUAUUAAAAUAUAUGAGAGAGAAUGUAGACAACCUGUAUAUAAACAAGCCGAUGGAAAACUAGAAGAUGUGAAAAAAGAAUCUUUUUAGACCAUUGUCUAUAUGGAAAUAUAGACAACCCCAUAUAGACAAGCUGCUGAGGAUGCUCUUAAGUCCUCAUCACUCUACCUGCAACUUAAAAGGCUAUUGGGUCAGGUUGGGUUUAUCCGACGUGUCACCUGACAGGUGGGCCCGCCCUGUAAGAAAAACUAUCAAAUUGCGUAAUCAUGUCAUUUCGAACUUAUUGUUACAUUGUGACCAAAAAAUUGUGAUUUUUCGAGCAAAUUAGCAAAA